rnacentral:rRNA from 1 species
UGAGUAACGCGUGGAUAAUCUUCCUUAAAGUGGGGAAUAACUAGUCGAAAGAUUAGCUAAUACCGCAUAAGACCACAGGCUCUUUGGAGCUAGGGGUUAAAGUCUUACGACGCUUUAAGAUGAGUCUGCGCCCGAUUAGCUAGUUGGUGAGGUAAAGGCUCACCAAGGCGACGAUCGGUAGCUGGUCUGAGAGGACGGCCAGCCACACUGGGACUGAGACACGGCCCAG